CAGCAGAUCUCACCCUCUCCAUUGCAAAGGGUGAGAUCAGCAGCAUAAAUUGACAUGCUGUACAGGUCAGUUUGUGGAGCGUGUGGCUUUGAAUUCGGAAAAUCCCAUCCACUUUGCUGGUAUUGCACAACGCUGCAGAUUUGCCGCCCUAAAAUCCGUGAUUGCAAAUCCGCAGCUAAAUCGGCUUCGUGUGAACACGGCCUUAGUCACAGACCGGGUUCACACAGCCCUAAAUCAGGAUUAGGUCAUUGCUCCACAGGUCCCAGGUCUCUGGGAUAUGAACAUCCUGUUGACGAGGCCAUUCGUGACUGCUGCAGCCAAUCGCUGACCAUUACCAGUGCGGCACGUGACCCAGUGAUUGGCUCCAGCUGUCUCGGCCAGGAUGCGUGUUUUGCGGAUACACAAAAUGGAUACGGCCGUGUGCAUUGAGCCCUUACUUUUUAAGAUCCUUUCUAUGUACCUGGCUUUAUUGCUUGUCAUAAUAUGAAUGAAGACUAAACCCUGUCCUACAUAUUGGAAACUGGAGACCCAGAAUAGCUCCAUUAAAUUUUAAAGAGGUUGUCCAGUGGAUUCAAUAUUUUUUAAUAAAAGGCUGCGUAAAAAAAUAAAAUCAGUCAUACUCCUCUCACCGCUCCUGUUUCUGUGCUUCCCGGUCCCCUGUGUGUCUCUGAUUCCUGGUCACUCCUGAUACACAGGAAAUAACCAUUCAGCCCAUCACUGGCCAUAAUCUGCCGGACAACCCCUUUUAAUUAUCUUCACUUUCUGUGAAAGGAAAAUAAAAUGCUCUGCUUUGGGGCGGCUGUAAAUAUUUCGGACCGUGAGCAGUUCCUUAAGAUAUUGGUCUUUUUAUUUUGGUCACUUCUCAUAUAAACGGGACUAAUGAUAUUAACCUGCAGCCUGGAAUUUCUGAAUUUCUGAUCUUGUGCCUUAAAGGGG